AGAGUAUUGGGAUUAUAGGUGUGAGCCACUGCCAGAAAAACGUUUCCUAAGACAAGGCAGGUCUUACAUUAUAUUUAAAUUUUUUUUAAUGAUGUCUUUUUUGGCAGUGCACAGCCAGAGGACAACACAUCACACACAAGAAACAGUUGUGCUCAUGUGAUGGGGGCCUCAGCACUAGGAAGGAGUGGACUGUUGGCGCACGCAGCAGCUUGAAUAAAUCUGAAAGUCACUACGCUGCGUAAGAGAAGCCAAAUAAAGCGCAUGCUGUGUACAGAGGGUGUCGAGAAUGCCUCCUACGUGACGGAAAGCAGAUCCGUGGUUCCCUGCAGACUGGCAGGAGCAGAUUCCAAAGGCACAGGAAGAAGCUUGCAGUACAAAGAUAAAAAUCUAAAGUGGUUGCUGUGGAGGACAGGGGUCAGUGGUGGAAGUGAGACCGAAAUAGACUCUGAAGUAAUAUCUGGACUUUGAAAUUGCGCCAACCCUGAGACAAAAAUUUGGAAGGUGGCCCUGAGCAGCAGCUGAAGGGAAGUGGGAGGUUGCCUGUUCACUCUGCCUGGUCAUAUGCAGAAAACCGAAACUAGACCCCUUGCUGACACUUAUACAAAAAUUAACUCAAGAUGCAUUAAAGAUUUAAACGUGAGACCUAAAACCAGAAAAAUCCUAGAAGAAAACCUAGGCAACACCAUUGAGGACGUAAGCAUGGGCAAAGACUUCAUGACUAAAACACCAAAAGAAAUGGCAACAAAAGCCAAAAUUGACAAAAGGUUUCCUUAAUGACAACAAAAAAGGGAGUAAUCCUACCCACUGUAAGAGUCAUGACUCUUGAUUGCAGCUGACAGAAACUCAUGACA
rnacentral:lncRNA from 10 species